CCUAAUCCCCUCAUCUCCCUCUCUACAGCCGCCACCCCCUUCUCUCCCGUGCACAGCCGCCGCCUCCUCUUUCUUCCUCCCGAGCGCCGCCUCCAGCCGGCUCCCCCUACAGCCGCCGCUUCCACCGCCCCUGCCUCUCCCCUGCACGCCGCACUCCUCGUCGCCUGCGCGCCGCAUGGCCGGUGCUCGGCCGCCGCCCUCGCCAAGCCCGACGCGCCGCCGGCCCCUGCGCAGCAGCCGGUCGCCGCCCGUGCACGCGCUCUGCGUGGCCGCCGGAUCGAGGAGGCCUGGCUGCUCGCAAGCUCUCCAGGCGGCAGCACGGACUCUUCUUCCCUGAGCAGGGGAAGAUCCUCACGCUACCUGUGCUCAGGGCGAACAGCGGCGGGCUCAUCGUCAAGUUCAACUCCCUGCAGGGGUUCGUGCCCAACCCUCUCCUCAGCCCCGCGCACUGGUGCAGAGACCCAAAAAGGCCCAUCCAAGAUGUUAGCAAGGACCUAGUAGCAACGUCCAUUUCUGUCAAGGUAAUUAAGUUUUCUUUGAUUGUUCCAUGGCACCAUCAAUUUGCUGUUGGGUGUGGCUAUUUUUGUUGUAACCUAUUAGGAGGAAAAUGAAGGUUAGGUUUCUUGCGCGAGCUGGGAGGCAGGUCCAGGAAGUGUAUUUGACAUCUUCCCUAGACCAGGAGGGCAUAAAGAAGGCUGUGCAAAGAGUGCUAGGGCGUGUUCCUUGAGUCUGACACACAGCAAGGUGCUGCUGAUGAUAACUUCUUUGCAAGCGUUCAGUCUAUUGCAGUGUGCCUCUGGUGAUUUAAAAGGUUAAAGAACUGGCAGUUAGAAUAGAAGAGAAGCCUCACAGAGAAAAAAUCAUUGCUAGCCAAAUGUGCUGCCACAACACUCAUCAAAACUGAUGUGGUGAUGAAAAAGAAUUCUUUGCUUCCUUAAUUGCUGCUGCUGGUUCAUACUCCUGAUGAAACCUAUCUUUUGUUGUCUCUGCUCUAUUUUGUUUGUCUUUUUUCCUGUAAUGUUAGGCUGCUAGUUUUGAUACAUGGAAAAAACCUUUAUGUGAUCCAUUAUUCUGAUGUCAUGAUGUUGGGGUGCAAACAUUAUUGAUAUGACAUUAUAAUUUUGGAUGUAAUUGCUUAUUGUGACUUUUGUGCUGGAACUUUUGUUUUGUUAAAUGGGCUGUGUAUAAAGCCGAUUUUGGUUA